UUUGAUCGACAGAAGAAGAAGAAGACAUGAACCGACAAGGCGGUGGUGGGAUUGAAGAAGAAGAAGAAAUUAACCGACAAGGCGGUGGUGGACAACGGCUGAGAUCAGCUAGACCCACCACAAUUCAUGAUUGUGCUCUCUCGGCGAUCUUAUUGCUUUGUAGCGGCUCCUUAAAGACAACCCUUCUCUUCUCAAUGAACGCAGUCCCCUCCUUGCUGGUGGCAAUGCUGCUCUUGCUCUUGCGGUGACUGUGGCAUCCAACUUAUUAGGAAUUUUAAGUGCAAAUAUUAUCUGAACCUUUUGAAUCUGUAAUGUGGCAACGCAGCUAGCAGCGGUGGCAGCAUUGUGUGUGCAAUACGAAUCUGAGUUUAGACCAAAUAUGAGUAUAGUUGUAAAAGCUCUGCAGCCACUUCUCAAACCUCCAGCGCCAAUCCCAGUUCCUGAAUCAUGAGUAUAUGCGCCUUUUAAAUACCCCCGGUGUCUUCUUCGUAUAAUAGAGUUAGAUUCUUUGUUCAUACAAAGUAAGAAUUUUACUCUGAUUUGGGAAAGAACAUAAAAGUAUAAUAAGAUCAUAACUAUGUUUUUUUUUUUUUGAGGGGAUGGAGUUAUUAGUCGGCAUUUUGGUUUGAAACAAGAGUGUAUUCUUAUGUUGCAUUUUGCUUAUGUGCUGUAUUGGAAACAAGCUUUGCUUGAUUGGCGUGGAGAACAAAAGAUGUAUUGCAAUUU